CGGCGGACGGGUGAGUAACACGUGUAUAACCUACCUAUAAGACUGGGAUAACUUCGGGAAACCGGAGCUAAUACCGGAUAAUAUAUUGAACCGCAUGGUUCAAUAGUGAAAGACGGUUUUGCUGUCACUUAUAGAUGGAUCCGCGCCGCAUUAGCUAGUUGGUAAGGUAACGGCUUACCAAGGCAACGAUGCGUAGCCGACCUGAGAGGGUGAUCGGCCACACUGGAACUGAGACACGGUCCAGACUCCUACGGGAGGCAGCAGC
rnacentral:rRNA from 1 species